UGAUAGUUCCUUAUGUGGCCAUGACAUCUGUUACCCCUUUGACUACUAGGGGUGAAUCAGUUGAUCUCGAUGGCUAUUUAGAUAUCCUCUUCCUCACUUGUCACACAAUAUCUAACCCCCCACCCAAAGAAAAUCCUGUAUGCUAGUCAAAGAGGAUGAACUUCACUGAACCGAAAAGAACCUGUCAUUAAUCAAGGAUAUGUGGGUUGCUGUGAUCUGCUGCUACAACCUCAAAAAAAAAAAAAUCUCUUAAGUUUGGAAAUUACCAAGAAAAUUACUAUGUAGACUUUAACAUAGAAAUUUGGUGUGCAUUGCAUACACUAGCAAGAUUU
ensembl:misc_RNA Gm24419 predicted gene, 24419